ACACAGUGUCUGUCUCCAGAGUGGUGUUUUAAUUGAAGCAGGUUACGGUCGUGUCUCGAUGAAAUUGGAAAAAUUAAUCAGCUGGAAAACGGUGUUUUCUUCCCUCCAACCAUCUCUCUCUCUCUCUCUCUCUCUCUCUCUCUCUCUCUCUCUCUCUCUCUCUCUCUCUCUGUCAAAUUAAACGGUGAGAGCCAUCUCUGUGUAAAAGGUGGUUUGUUUUUGGCGAUGUGUGUUGGUGGAAAUCUGUGUGUUUUAAUUUGCGUUAAUCAGCAUCUGUGUGCUUUUGGUCGCCCAUUAACGUUGGCUCAGUUUGUUAGCAUGUUAGCAUGUUAGCAUGUAUGCAUCUGUGUGUGUGUUAGUGUUGAGCAUAUUGGUACUUUUAGUGCAGACCCAAAUACGAAGAUUGUAAAAAAUGAUAGUGAAGGCGAACUGAAAACAACCAGAGCUCCCUCUACUGACUGGAUACAGUAGAAGCCAGAAGCCCCGCCUCCCCAUGUUAUCAGAUGGGACAUGGGUCAACUAAAAAAUAACAAAAACAUGUUGAAUAAAUUAAACUUUUUAGUAAUACAGUUUAGUCUGUAUUAGUUAUUUGGUUCUAUAAGAAUGGUGUUAAACCAUGAUUGACAGCUUUGUUGACCAAUGACGAUCCUGCAGCAGCACAUUAUCGGGAGGGAAACGGCAAGAAACCUUGAAUAGUUAUGGAACAUCAUGAUACAAUAUCAUAAAAUACAACACGAUACAAUAGGAAUUGAUUCACCUUUACAGUGAUAGUGAUGUGGCACUAUAUCAAUAAAAUUUGAUUGAUUGAUUGAUUGAUCGAUAGUCCACUCAAAUACACAAAAUAAUAUUAAACACCAACAACAACCUGCAUGCAAACAGAGAACACACACUUAUAUGAUAAUGGAGUUAGAGACAGGCUAACAGAGUGAUUGACAUGCUAACAGGCAGGUGGAUAGAUGGACAGGAAGUGAUGUCAUCCUGUUUUGUUAGGGGUGAGGUUUGGGGGGGAGGCAACUGUCGCCCUCAGGCUGGAAGAGGAUGACUGAUCGUCCAAUCGCGGGAAGGGUUGCUGUCUAUGCAACAUUACUUCAGCCAAUUGAGCGUCACCUUGUAUUAAUAUGGCCAUCAGUCUGCCUGCUUACAAAUAACACAGACGCACAACAACAACAACAUGAGGAGGAGAACAGUUGGACUCCAGCGAGGAGGAGUUGAGAUCAGAACCACGACGAGUCCAGACAGAGUUCAAAACAAACCCUCAGGAGUCACGAUAUUACUGUGGUACAACUUUACGAUGUUAGUUUGUACAUCUACGCUGUAGAGAAGAUUUAUGUCGAUCUCAUUUGUCAUAUUUAGUGAUCAGUUAUCUAAAAAACACCUCAGCUCCUACUUCAUGUCUGAUGUUAGAAGUAUUUUCUAGAGGUCUUUGCUGCUGCUCUCCCUGCCUUGGCCUUUCAUAAAUGCACAUAUAGUCGAGGUGUGUCCUCCGUGCCUCAGGUUUCUGAACUCCUCAUACACCUGUGGAGGGAAAGAAGCUCUCAGAACAGAGUCAGACCACAAGAUACAACAUCUAUUACACCUUUUCUAUACCAACAUCUAUAACACUUUUCUCUUCCACAGAGAGGACAAGAGUAAUUUCAGACUGCAGCUAUAAAUAAUGUUUUACCAACAAUGAAAUGAACUCAAACUACACUGUGUGUGUGUGUGUGUGUGUGUGUGUGUGUGUGUGUGUGUGUGUGUGUGUGUGUGUGUGUGUGUGUGUGUGUGUGUGCGUGUGUGCGUGUGUAUCAGCCCUGGGUUAGCCAUUAGUGGUGCACUGCUGAAGGGAAGGAGGAAGCUGGUAGAUCGUGAAGCACAUUAGCUCAAGAGCCGCUGGAGCAAAGGGGCAAACACACACACACACACACACACACACACACACACACACACACACACACACACACACACACACACACACACACACACACACACACACACACACACACACACACACACACACAGACACAGACACACAUUCCUUUGCUUAGAUUAUAUCUAAGCGUUGAAGGUGUUCCUCAGGGCAGCCGCACUUGCUGCAGCGUUUUUAAUGCUCUGUUAAACAUGCACACUCACACACACACACUCACACACACACACAUUCUCAGGAGUGUGUGUGCACAUGCAUAUUUAUCACAUUCUUUCACAAACAUUUUUAUUCAUGGUUUUUCUCAUGCACAACAUUGCAAAUUCAUGAUGGUGCAAACACACACACACACACACACACACACACACACACACACACACACACACACACAUGCGUGCACACAAACAGCACACCAAGUCUCAGUGAGUCCAAGCUGGAGUCAGUGAUGAGAAUCUGAGUUUAAAGCUCAUUAACUAACAGAAACCCGAGAGAGAGAGAGAGAGAGAGAGAGAGAGAGAGAGAGAGAGAGAGAGAGAGAGAGAGAGAGAGAGAGAGAGAGAGAGAGAGAGAGAGAGGAAUAAGAGAAGAAGAGAAAGAGAGAAAAAGAGACCUUUGGGGGAAACAGGAUUUAAUUGGAAAAAACGUUGAAACGUUUCAGACCUCCUCCUCCUCCUCCUCCUCCUCCUCCUCCUCCUCCUCCUCCUCCUCACUUCUUUAGUUUCUCCUGCAGAAAAAAAAAACAGAUUAAUGAGGAGUGAGCGCUCGGCUGCUCUCUCU